CUGUCGCUGCUUACCAUAAGCUCUUCAGACACUGGAACAAUAUACUGGGGAAGCCACACUACUGUAAGGUACAGUGUAAAGGGAUUGGCUUGGGAAUCUGAGGAUGUAGGUUCAAAUUUUGCCUCUGAUAUUUACUACCUUGGUGAUUCAUACCCUGGAGUUGUGAUCUGAUGAGCUGUCCCACUCUGGUGCAUGUAACUUACAUCCAGGCUGGAAAAUGAGCAUCACAUGCGUGUGACAGGAGAAAUGCUAAUCCCUGGGGGUCACCCCAGAUCAACAGGAGGAAACACCUGUAGACACUUCAAGCUUCACUAAACAACCUUCUCAAUUCUUUUAA